rnacentral:rRNA from 1 species
GACGAACGCUGGCGGCGUGCCUAACACAUGCAAGUCGAGCGAGUGGGUUUCUUCGGAACACAGCUAGCGGCGGACGGGUGAGUAACGCGUGGGCAACCUGCCGCAUAGAGGGGCAUAGCCUCCCGAAAGGGAGAUUAAUACCGCAUAAGAUCGUAGCUUCGCAUGAAGUAGCAAUUAAAGGAGCAAUCCGCUAUGAGAUGGGCCCGCGGCGCAUUAGCUAGUUGGUGAGGUAACGGCUCACCAAGGCGACGAUGCGUAGCCGACCUGAGAGGGUGAUCGGCCACAUUGGGACUGAGACACGGCCCAGACUCGUACGGGAGGCAGCAGUGGGGAAUAUUGCACAAUGGGGGAAACCCUGAUGCAGCAACGCCGCGUGAGUGAUGACGGCCUUCGGGUUGUAAAGCUCUGUCGUCAGGGACGAUAAUGACGGUACCUGAGGAGGAAGCCACGGCUAACUACGUGCCAGCCGCCGCCGUAAAAC